rnacentral:rRNA from 1 species
CCGCCUGGGGAGUACGACCGCAAGGUUGAAACUCAAAGGAAUUGACGGGGGCCCGCACAAGCGGUGGAGCAUGUGGUUUAAUUCGAAGCAACGCGAAGAACCUUACCAGGUCUUGACAUCUUUUGAUCACCUGAGAGAUCAGGUUUCCCCUUCGGGGGCAAAAUGACAGGUGGUGCAUGGUUGUCGUCAGCUCGUGUCGUGAGAUGUUGGGUUAAGUCCCGCAACGAGCGCAACCCUUAUGACUAGUUGCCAGCAUUUAGUUGGGCACUCUAGUAAGACUGCCGGUGACAAACCGGAGGAAGGUGGGGAUGACGUCAAAUCAUCAUGCCCCUUAUGACCUGGGCUACACACGUGCUACAAUGGAUGGUACAACGAGUUGCGAGACCGCGAGGUCAAGCUAAUCUCUUAAAGCCAUUCUCAGUUCGGACUGUAGGCUGCAACUCGCCUACACGAAGUCGGAAUCGCUAGUAAUCGCGGAUCAGCACGCCGCGGUGAAUACGUUCCCGGGCCUUGUACACACCGCCCGUCACACCAUGAGAGUUUGUAACACCCGAAGCCGGUGGCGUAACCCUUUUAGGGAGCGAGCCGUCUAAGGUGGGACAAAUGAUUAGGGUGAAGUCGUAACAAGGUAGCCGUAGGAGAACCUGCGGCUG